UGCAGGCGGUUGCUGCUAUCUAGGCCUCUGCAGAAGCCAGGGCUGUGGUGCUGUACAUGGAGAUUGAGUUAGCUCCGGCUCCCGGGAGACAGGGUCCCCGUCACAGCCAAGGAUGACAUCUUAACCGGUCAUAGAGAGGACGUCACACAGGCUCUGCUGGCUGCUCGUUUCCAUCACGGGGAUGAAAGACCUGAGAACUACAACUUAACAGAAAGCAAGAGAGGUUUAUGUUGGCCAUGGGGUCAGAGAUUCAGUCCAUGGUGCACCGUGGGGAAGGGCAGUGGCGGAAAGCUGCCCAUCUCACGGAGGGCAGGGAUGGAGGGAAGGAUGCAGGUGGAAAGGAUGGAGAGAGCUGGGGGAGGAAUGGAGGGAGGGCGGGAUGCCCCAGGAAACAGGGACAAGUUCUGUCUUUUCAGAGUACACCCUCAGUGGUAUACUCCCUCCACCUAAAAACAAAAACAUCCAACAAUGAAGUCAUCAGUACUAACCAAGGCUUUAACACAUGCGCCUCGAGAGAUUUUUUUUACAUCUAAAACAUAAACUCCCUGCCCUACGUGGGCAAGCCAUGGUCCUCAUAGCCCACUGUUAGGGGUAACUGAAUUGAGCGGAGACCCAUGCAGACAGCACGACCACCCUGUCUCUGACCUUUAGGUCCGAGGUGGUCCUUCCUAUCCUCCAGGAAAGGCUAACACACCCUGGAGGGUGGCUCGUCUGCUUCUGCUGAGCAGAGAGCAGAAGGGGAAGAGGUGACUAUGGGCGAGGCCCUAGCAUCUCCAUUCCUGAGGAAGCUAUGUGGAUGGGAGUCUCAGCCACUUCCCAGAAGCCCUCCUUCCAGUUUGACAGCAGAUCUCGCCUUGUGGCCCAGAGUGGCCUCAAACUCCCUGUCCUUCCUGCCUCAGCCCCUAGAGGGCUGAGGCUGUAAGCACGCACCACCACACCUGCCUGUCUUCUCUAGUCUAUCACCAUGGGCUCACAGUGCCUGCUGACAUUGGAUGCGCUAGUCGAUAGUCGAUUCACAACAGAAGGGCCCUGCAGGCAGACUGCCACUGAAGCACGAGCAGGGGCCUCAGGACACAGGGCCUGAGCCACAGCCAGGGGACUCUGCUUACUGGGACCAGUGUGUGUGUGUGGGGGGGGGGAGGGGGUGCUUUAGCCAAAAAUUCAAUACCUGUACAAACACUUGGGCGGGCCCAGUCUUAGUGGAGACUUCAGUGCAGCUCCUGCUGUUUACUGGGGCGCAAACACUGGCACUGGGGUUACAGAGAAGAAGUGGAAAGAGAAGAAGAAAUGGGGCAGGCAUGAGGAACAUCUCAUGACCAAGAAUAAGAGGCCUAGAUUUCCAGGUUGGGUUUGGUCAUGGCCAGUGUCAACCUCUGCCAGUGACAGGUACUGCUGCAAUGAAAAUGAACUAGUCUAAAAAUGAAAGAUUUAGUAGCUCUCAGGAGCACAGCUAUGAGGGCUCAAUGCAGUGUGGGGAUUCAAAUGAAAAUGAUUUACAACUUAAUAAAACUGUAACCCUGGCUCCCCAGUCCCAACUGCCACAGUUCAAACCCCAGUGGCCACUAUCUGGGUACACGGAGUUCCAUGGGGGUACCCUCAAAUCUGCAGGUGCGGACACGUAGUCCACAGGACAUUCUUAGGGCACUCCUGCAGGCACUUUCUAAGGGCCUGCAUGCCUUGUUAGAACCUAUAUAAAAUACUGGGGAAGACACCCAGCAUACUUUUAGCCUGCAGCAGCUCUAAAGCAGGAGAGUAUUCAGAGGGACGGCGGAGUGAACUACCACAGGGUGUUCCACAGAUUCAGUGUGCGGACAAACAUUAGCAUGCUUCUGUAAGCAGGGGGCCACCUGCCGCAUCUGUAAUGGAAUGCUGUGGUAUGGCUUGCACAGGAGACCAGAAACCAGAACCCGUAGGUUAUGUUAUAGAUGAUGGCAGUCACCAUUUGCAUGGGGCGUGGUUAUGCGUCUAAACACUGCAGAAUAAUCACCCACAGGCUGGGCACCCUUGGUCCAGAACGCAGAGAUCUGACAGCUCCUCACCCUAACCCUUUCGAACAGCAACAUAACGCAAGAGGAAGCUUCAACCCUGGAGUGGAGGGUUGACAUGGAAACAGAGACAAUGAAAAUAUCCGAAAAAGCUACCCUUGCGCCACAAAGCACGAAUGAUUCUUGAGUUUAGACUGGAGUCCUGCCCAAAAGAUACCUCAGUAUGUUCAGAAAUACUGCAGCCUGAAAACACAUGAAAGCAGGUUAUCCCAAGAGCUUCCAGGGACUCUCCAGCGGUGAGAGACAGCAGGAGGCGCUGGUACGUAGGCUGGGUAAGAGUCAAGACAGAAACAGAAAGCUCCUUUAUGGGAAAGCAAAAGGAAAAGUAGAAAAGUAAUAAGUUCUAAUCUUCCUUCUUUGUUACAUUUAUUCAGUCAGUGUGUAUGUGGAUAUGUGUGGGCGCAUGGCAUGAAGUGUGUGUGCAUGUGUGUGUGAGUGUGUGCUUCUGUGUGCAUGUGUGUGUCUCCGUGUGUGUGAGUGUGUGUGUGUGUGUAUGCACGCUGUGGGCAUGGAGCGUCAGUCAUCAGCUUGGUAGAGAGCACCCGUACCCACUGCAGCCUCUCACUGGCCCAGCUCUUAGUUUAACGCAUUUAAGUUUGUGUGAGAGAAGGGAGGAUAGACAAGGAACACAGAGAUAAACAGGAGACAAUCCGUCCUGCUAACACAAGUCAGUACACGGCUGGCUCGGCGGCAAUGCAAAUACGGCAUACGGUGCCCAUGGUGGAGAGCAAACCGGUAGGGGCUGUUAGACAGCCACCCCUCCCUCCGCCUCAGAAGUGCACUUACACGCGUAAACAGAGACGCUCGUGGGAGGUGGAUGCUGAGACAGCACUGAGUAGGGAAAAAUUGCCCCAAAGAAGCUGACACUCCUGAGUAGACAGGGUUUGUCUACGCUGGCUACGUCACGGUGGGACCUCAGACAGCCGAGGAAACGCAGAGUCCAGGCUCACCACCCCAUGGAAAGGCAGGCCGCAGAAAGCCUUGACACAGCACUCUGCAGCCUGUAAACAUGGUGCACACUACACAGCACCUGCACUUAUCUCUACCCGCCAGACUCGUAAGUACCUAUGAGAACAAUGCCCAACGUCCCAGACGCCACCACGGAGGAAGAGGCUGAGGUGAGGUGAAGCAGAGUUUUAGUAAAUGCUUGCAGGUUGUUUUACGAUGACUUUAGUAAUUACCUUUGACUCACAGCAGUCCACACAGAUGGGAUAAUCUACAGCUGGCACUUGGCGCACAAUGUGGAGGAACUGGGCUCUCCGGACAUCCCACCCUAGUGCUAGCAGUUAGCUCUGCGGCAGCACGGGGCUUGUGGGAAACUGACUGCUGGACUCAGCUUACAUCAGCUGUACUCUCCGGUUUGCAGAAGAUGGGUGAAUCACGGGGACCCCAAGAACUGAGUAUGGACCACUGCAGGCACCUCUGUGACCAGUCACCUUGCAGUGCUGACUACAGCCAGGCCGUUAGGUGGCACAGGGCUGCAGACUCUGCUCUCCUACCUUAGACACCGACCAGUAGCCAGAAUGGCCCCACCCCCUGCCCCAGCAGCAGCAGGCGCUGGUUUCCAUUUGCCAGGCUCCUGCUAGGGAGAUGAGAUGCUGUCUCUCCCCUUCGAAGCUGAAAUUACCAAUUUGUCUUUGCAGCUCUGGGUAUGACUGCUGCUUCUUUCCUUUAGGGAAAGGCAUGCCUGAACGGUCUUCAGUCAACCAGUGGGUCCAUGGAGAACACAGGGGAAGCUACUGCGCCCUGGUGGUGAUCAAUGGACCGAUUGGAGCAAAUCUGCUCUGAUUCCCAGUGUCCUCCGAGGUGCCCGUCUCCUCUGAGCUCUGUUCUGUAGACUGGGAAUGGGGACCGGUGCUCAACUCCAGCUGUGUCCACAUCUGGAGAAUACUCCUGAGUCCACACCCUCACCCACCUGGGCCUCAGCUACUCACCAGAGAAAUGCAAGGCGAGGUUCGCAGGUCUCUUCUUCACAUGGGCUUUGAGAGCCCCAUAAUCAAACCUCCAAGAGUAGAAGAUUCUAUGAUGCUUAUUAAAUUUAUAAAGAGAAGUCACCUUUGUCUAGAAAAUGAGCAAGUAGCAGUGUUACCCUUAAAAGGGGACGACUGGGACGGGCAAGGCUCAACAGAAUUGGCACACGUAACACAAUAGCAAGUGGAAGUACUUAGAGUUAGUUUUGGAAUUACUAAUGUUACAAUUUACCACCAGGACUUAAGGAUGGAAAGAUGUGCUACUGAAAACACCCUAGGUCAGAGCAGCGGCAUGCACCUGCAGUCUUAGCCACUUGGGAGGCAAGAGACAUCUGGACUCAGGCGCUGGAGCCACUCUGGCUAACACAGUGAGACUUCACUUCAAAAAAAAAAAAAGAGGAAGAAAAGAAGGAAAAGGAAAUAGAGAGGAGGAGGAGAAGAAGAGGAGGGAGUAAAGAGGAGGAGAACUCAUUUCCCUGGGAAAUAAGCAUAAAUCAGAUAGACGGCCAGCAACCAGCCGUCUUCUCAAUAAGGGAACUCCUUGGGAAGAUGGUGAAGGCCGGAUGGAAGCAGGGACCAGUGAUUCCAGCCAGGUGACCUGGGAUUUGAGACCCUGAGCCAGCUGAGCCAUGUGGACGAUAACAACGGUGCUCCCUUCAUAACAUUCUUAGGAAACGACGUGUAUGAUACGAAUGGUAUUGAUGACGAUGCACUUGUUACAAAGAUUAGCCAGAAAUGCAAAGCCAGGAAAAACCCUCUGAGGACACAGUAAGAAGGCGCCAUCUGCAGGCCAAGGAGAGGAACUUCACCCUGAUCCCAGCCUUGGAGCCUCUGGGCAGUGAGGAAAAGAAUGGCUGUCACUGAAGUCACCUGGCCUGAUGCUGUGGGAUUUGGGAAGGCAACCCAAACAGACGAAUGCGACGAUAAAGUAAGGAAAGCUAUUGUAACUUUGAGUGAAAAAAAAAAACUCCAAAAUUAGCUCUCUGAAUUAAACAACAUUUUUGUCUUCUAAUUCUAAAUUCAGGCCAACCUCAAAUGCCUCUCUCUACUGGGUUAAUUAUGAUUGCAAUGGAAAUUUCAUAACUCGACUGCUGACAUUAGCAAGGAAAGGGAAAGGACUGGGCCUUCCCAAGCCAGAGAGGGCUCAGUUUCCCCCGUCCAAGCUAACCAGGCCUGAGCCUGCUCACCCUCGGGGAUCAGCCGUGUUCAGGGCGCUGUGGCCAUCAGCGGUUCCUCCCCUAAGAAACUGCGUAACAGCUUCUGAUGCUCCAGCAUUCCAUACUGUAGCUAGAGUGCAUCGACGGGCAGUUUACAUACAGUUUUCUUUAGGGUGCCGAACUCAGAAGAAAAGGUCAAGGAACCCUCACUGCGCAUCCUCCCUCACUGCGCAUCCUCCCUCACUGCGCAUCCUCCCUCACUGCGCAUCCUCCCUCACUAAGCAUCCUCCCUCACUAAGCAUCCUCCCUCACUGCGCAUCCUCCCUCACUGCGCAUCCUCCCUCACUAAGCAUCCUCCCUCACUAAGCAUCCUCCCUCACUAAGCAUCCUCCCUCACUAAGCAUCCUCCCUCACUAAGCAUCCUUUACUUCUGUGCUGGGGUUUGAACUUGGCGCACCGUGCUUAACAAGAAGCUCUCCAUAGCACGCUCCCGCUCAAGCCUGCUCUAGUGAGCACUUCUAAGCAUUAGCAGAAGCUGAAAAGGCUUAUAAGGAGAAAAACAAGACAGGCAAACCCACAACAACCCAACAGGUAUGGUGCUGCGCACCUGAAACCCCAGCAACUGGGAACUAGAGGCAGUCUACGGUCUGUCUCGGCUACUUAUCGAGUUCAGGACCACUGCGUUCUUCCUGAGGUCUGUCCAAAAGUAAAUAAACAGGAUGCCAAAGGUCCCACUGUGGUGCCACUAGGUGGCUGGCCUCUCGUCCUGGUGACCCAGCUCCCAACACUAGUGCCUUUGGAUAGUGGUAUCUGUGUGUCUAAGAUUAGGGAAAUAGAAGGCAAAUCCUGAACGAAACCUGUCCUUGUGCCUCACUCCUAGAAGAACAGCACAGUGUGGCUCUCACUGGGAGACUCAGGGAGGAAUGGUGGGUUCUCUCCUGCUCUGAAGGAAGGCAGCAGCCACGCUGUGAGCUGCCCUGUGGAGAGGCCCAAGAGGCAAGGAACAAAAGACACCUCCAGUGUUCCGCCAUCAAACGACUGAGGUUCCCGGUAACAGUCACAGAAAAUCCCGUUCCAGUCUUCUUGUGAGACUGUAGAUGAUGGUCGACAGCAGUUCUGUGCUAAGCUCAGCCACUCCCGGAUCCCACAACCAUGCCCUGUUAGUUCACUAAAGUGUUAGGUAACUUGGUUACACAGCACUUGAAAAUGGACACAGUAACUUACAAUGCCCUUUUGCUAGAUCCAAGUCACCCAUUCUUUUUUUUUUUUUUUUCUUCCAUAACUACUAUUAGUAUCUCCAUUACACAGGCAGGAAAACUAAGACACAGCUGGGUGAAUGUGCUCUUAACUGCUAGGCUACACUGCCUCCUUAUGGACAGGUCCUGCCAGGAUUUCCAGAGGCUGAGUUAUAGACAACAGGAAGCGGUAUCUUUACACCCUGAUGCUCCCAGCUCUGAUGGCCUCCUGGUCCUACAUUUUCAUGUAUUUGGUUUCCCCAAGAGACUCAGUGAUUGAUGCUCUUAGUUGUCAGCACUGUAGCUGUCUUCAGACACACCAGAAGAAGGCAUCAGAUCCCAUUACAGAUAGUUGUGAGCCACCAUGUGGUUGCUGGGAAUUAAACUCAGGAUCUCUGGAAGAGCAGUCAGUGCUCAUAACUGCUGAGCCACCUCUCCAGCCUGGUAGCCCUCUUAAAAGGCCACAAGGCAAUGAAGCUUGCGCUUCCUGCCUUCUUGCCUCUCACGACAGGCUUACCUAUCCUGACCCAUUCUUUCACGGGCCUUAGAGUCCACUUCUCUGGGAUUCCAACAUGGACUGAGAACCAACUGGCAUCUCUCUAGGACCUCCCUAGUACUCCAGCCAGACUGGGGCUGCCGAGACAUCUGGUCUCAGGGACAGUUCUGUUCCUUGCAGAACCCUGAUGAACACAGAUGCACAGGGAGCAUUUUUACCAUCUACUGCCAUGGGGAAACUGGCUACUGCUUCAAGAACACGGCUUCCUUGUCAUUACCUCCGCAUCUGCAGGUUCUGAUAGUCAUUAGUAUUUACAAAGGGAAAAAAUUGCCUCGCACAACAGAAUUGGAUUUCAAAGGGCUAGAACUCCCCACAGCUCUGAAAAGGAUCGCAGUGACUUCACAUAAAUAACCCAGGGGUCUAUUACACACACACACACACACACAUACACACACACACACACACACCACUGCGAGGGAGCAAAGCAUUCAGAGCUAAGCCCCUCGGUGUCCUGUACUCAGGAGUAGAUUGUGUUUUCUGCUCACAGUUUUUAAAAGAAGGGCACAGCCUGAGCUAUACACAUAGGAGACAACAGCCUCCCCUCUCCUGCUCUACCACAAAGCCUAUUUCUCCGGCACUUUAUGUAACUGUCCUGAGGCUUGAAGAGUCUGUAGUUGUGGCUUCAGCUAUGAAGAGUGCUGCGAUUAAGAUCUGUGGUGAAUUGACUUGUUGAGGAGUGGGGCGGUAGGGAGACAAAAAAAAUAAGAAGGGAAACCAAAAUGUGGCUAUAAAAAGCACCUCACCUCGUAAAGGGUCAGAAAUUCUAAAAUCAAGGAAAGAGUGGGUAAACUCUAAACCAAACCUUGCACCUAUUUAAUGUGGGGUUUACAGAUUAAUACAGCCUUCCAAUUAAGCUGAACCCACCACACCUGAGGCCAAACCACGGCAGGGGAAGCUUUACCAAGAUUGUGUAAGAACACGGCUUUGCCCACAAUAGGCUGAACCGAGAAGGGUCUGAAACCACCUGGACUCCCAAGUCUUCCUCCCCAGCCAGGAUGUCACACUCCCAGCAUGCCACACGGACUGACUUGGGUGGAAACAGGCAGAAACUUGGUCGGGGAUGUUCCAUCUUGGAGUGGAAGUUGUGGACACUGACUGCCACUCCAGAGGCCCGAACAUUUCAACCAUUAGCUUACCACACACACAGGCCCUCCCGCUGAUAGCAAUUAUCCUGCUUAGGCUUCAAAGUCACUGGCAAGGAAAGGGAACCUCGGGUCCAGACCUGAUUGCCAUUACAGACUAGAAGAAAUCAAGGCGCAGGCAGGCUGGAUAUCUGCUGAGGCGUGGGACCAGUUACUCGGUGGGCUUCUCUUUAAAUCCCCCACUGCCUCUUUCUUUCUCCCUCUACCUUUACUCCCCACGGAGUUUCACUCAGGCUGGACCACACCCAACUAUGUAGCCCGGGGAUCAGGCAAAAGACAAUCUUCCUGCUCCAGUUCCUUGGCACUGCCAUUUAGAGCGGGAGCUAAGACCCAAACCCCUUCUAGCCAAGCAGAAGGCAUUGCUUCUCGGUCUUGACUAAGAGAACCACCCACGAGCCAUUCCCAGCUCCCACGCCUGAGAAUGGAAUUAGUUUGGAGUGUCAGAGGACAAGGCAAUUUCUCAAACCCUCCCCUGGGAUUCUGGAGGCUGGGGGAGGGGUGGUGAGGUAGUUCAGUAGGUAAAUCCUGCUUGAGCCCCAGAACCCAUGUUAAGAAACCAGAUGCACUGGCUCACAUCUAACCUCACAGCUCCUACAGGGGAAGCACGGGGAGGCUUUCUGGCCAACUGGCUGGAAGUCUGCAGAGCCUCUGAGAUGUGAGAGAUCCUGCCUCAAAUACAUGGUGGGAGGAGAGAACAGGUUCCCAAAAGGUUCCUGGACGUCACAUGCAUAUUCCUCCCCCGCCCCUUACACACACGCACACUGCUUUUUUAAAACAGAUUCCAAGGUUACAGGUACCGUCGGAAUCUCCCUUUUUGGGGAGGGGCACAUAUGUAGAGAAGUUAGAACUCUUUCUUAAGAUCCUUUAAUGCAGAUCAGAGUACAUGUUAUUAAGAGAAAAUUAUAGAAAAGGCCACCACGAAGCAUGGUCAUGUUUUAAAGAAAUGCGUGUUCCGUAGAAACAGAAAGACUUCGUAUGAUUUCCUGACAGCAGAUUCUGACACAGCCCUUGGGUGAAGCUGUACCCAUCAUAUGCGUCCGUGUUUGAGCCGACCAACGCAAGGGCGUGUUUCCGCUACGGUCUGGAACUCUGCCUCGGAGAAGCCAAAUGGGACGUCUGAGCUGCCCGUUAGCUUGGUGAUGGCUGAGCAAGGAGAACCAACUAACCAGAGCCGACAGCCCGAAGCACGGGUCACUACUGGUUCUGAGCACAGCUCUGCUCUCCGAGUAGAACUAUUCACAGAAGCAGCAGCUAGUAAAACAGCGUGCCCGGCAAAGAUUUGCCCACAUAGAAAAUAACCUUAUUUCAAUAAAGGUUUCCUCUAACUUGUAACAGUAUGAAUUUCUCUAGUAAGAUUAUUUUACAUAAAUAAUGAUAGUUUUUUUUUUUUUUUUACAUAGACACUUAGUUAACAUGUUUUACUGAAAGCAAAUCUCACAUAUCAGAUGGUUAGUAGUUAUAACAGUUUCUGGAAUUCUCAAACAAAUGAGUAGUUCAGGUCCGUUUCUUCUUUUAAGAUUAAGGUUAUAGGAUCAGGAGAGUCAUAGGUAACAACUGCACGUUGGCACCUCCAGGUGGCCCUUCAGUGCGGUUAGAAAGGAGGGCAGCAGCUCUAAGGUCUCCCAUAGUUCUGGAUUGGAGGCCCACCCAUUCCAGGGUAGCCACAGCCAACCUGAAGCAGACACAUCUGCAAUACCAUCGAAAGGUGACCCACAUGCAGGUGACAGGCUGAACCCCCGAAAGCCACACUUUCUCACUCAGAGGGAUGGUUCUGGCUAACUGAGAAACAAUCAGCUUGCUGGAAGACUUACCAAUUACCUACCACGAUGGUAGUUUUGUUAGGUUGUCUUCCUGUACAGAGCUAUUGGCCCUGGGAACUGGCACCCUUAGACCUAUGUGUUAAUGAUGUGUGAAUCAUUGUAAACCUACAGGACCCAUGAACCGGCAAUCCAUCAGUGUACAACACCCCAUACUGAAGCUCCAGAGGGUGGAAAGAAAGGGGAGGAGCCUCCAGAGGUCCCGUGUCUGUCUCCUCAGAACCACCCCUCUGCACAAAGGACCCUCCUUUCCAGCAAUCUGACAAGCCCCCUGGCCUGCCUCCCUGUUCCCUCUCCCACCCACCCAUCUUCCUUCCCCAUGGGACAUUUUCCACCCAACUUUGAAGUUAGAGUACCAUCUGACUGCAUCCCUCUGGGGACCCUUCCCUGGAUGCUCUUCAGACCGCUGCAGCCCAGCACCCUGCCCUUCAGCACUCACUGGAGCUCCUUCCGGCCAUUUCCUAGUUCACUCUGGCACCCAUCCACACAUCAGCAUGGCUACUCCUUUGGAUUCUGGACACAAAACUCUCCCUAAGGAGCCUGUGCAGGGCCACCGUAGGCCCCUUGAACUGACUGCUCAGAGUAACUUUCUGCACCCACACUGUCCCCAGAGCCCUCCUCCAGACCCUGGAAGGCUGAUCCUGCCAAUGGAUCUGGCUUGGGCUCCCCUGGAUCAGGGAAGGCCAGGCUCUUUCCUGUGACCUUUAGCACCCCAACUUCACAUCUUCAGAUCUACGCACUUGCCAGGCAGCUCCUCACAGGGGUUCCUCUCCUAGCUCCAGCUUCUAGCUGCUGUUCAUGGCUACUGGUCUGGAUACCUCCUGUGGAACUCCUGAGGCCAGCCCAGUUAGCCAGUUCCAUCCUGAGCCGCCAGUGUGCAGCCCUGUAAGGACCUGGCUGUCACUAGGUCUGCCACCUGUCGCGACUACCUGAUUCUCUUUACAUUCCAUGCUGCACGUCUCUCUUCUGCCGGCCCUCAGUACCUCAGGUUGCACAUGUACAGGUUCGGACAAUCUAGAAUAAUUUUUCUUUUUUCAUAAAGAAAAACUGCACUUGCAAGAACAGGUACAUACCAUUCCUUCUUGCCAUUUAAAAACAACAACAAUAACAGUAUAACAACUAUUUAUAUACAUUUACAACCUACCAGGUAGCGUAAGUGGCCUAGAGAUGACUUAAAGCACACGGGAGGAUAUGCAUAUGCUAUAUUAUGCAUAUGCUGUAUUAUGCAUAUACUACAUUAUGCAUACGCUGUAUUAUGCAUAUACUAUAUUAUGUAUAUACUGUAUUAUGCAUAUGCUGUAUUAUGCAUAUGUUGUAUUAUGCAUAUGCUAUAUCAUGCAUAUGCUAUUUGCAAGCACCUACUGUUUUACAUAGGAAACUUCACCACAUGUGGAUUUUAGCAUCAGAGAGAUGUCAGUGGUGGGGCUGUGCUCAAGAGCACCCCUGUCAUGUGCUUCUUCCCUGAGGUCUGUCUGUCUCCACACCUUCCAGAAUCCAAGCUCUAUGAAAGUGACAAGCCUGGCAAACUCUCCACUUCCUCCUGAGUCUGAAACCACGCCUGGAAACCAGCAUCAGUCCUUAGCAAUCACCACCUUAUCAUUCCAAGAGUGUUGUCAUCUUUGCUCAUUGGACGCACAGCAGCCAACGCCUUCCUUCUCAGACCUCUACUCCCUGAGCCCUCCUCCUUCUCCCUAGAGCACCGUCGUCGCCUUCUGCUACCGCUGAUAUUUACCUUUUCUGUUUCCCUCAAUCAAACAUGUCAGCAAAGCUUUCAGCCCUUGGCACUGAGUCCACAUGUCAAUGAAGUGGAGCUGAAGGUCGCUGCCAAGAGAGACACCACUGUGUCUUGGUUAUUUAUAAUUUAUACGGCCAUUUACUUUCAGAGAGGAUUUACAAUGGCUAUGCACACGCUUCAGGACAUCCUGUGUAGAGAGAGCAACAAUUGUCACAGCUCGGGGCUUUUCUCAUCGCUCUCUGCCGGUUGAGCUCUCGCCAGCACUUCAAACCUCUUUUAGGGAUCUCAGGCUCUCUUUUUCUGUCUGAAGCAAGAUCAGUUCAGAGUGAGACUGCAUUUGUCUGGGUGCCUAGUAUCCUGGAACAGCAUUGUCUAAGGCUCUGCCCACUUGGCCAGUCACUCAUUUCCACAUUUAUUAAGAUUCUGUUGUGAGGCUGUUCUGGGAUCGGAAGAUACAGCAGAGAAUCAAAUUGCAUUUUUGCCUUUAGGGCAAGUGCUCGAUGAAUUAUCACCUGAAGUGGCCAAGGGAACUGUUCAUGGUCCGUUGGGGUUUAGCCCCUGCCCUGCAUUUACUGUCAAAGGAAGGGUGCAGCUCAUUCAUUGGGAGGACGGAGAAAACAGACGUGACUCACCGUUCAUAAAUAGACUACGCUCUGCGUUCUCAAUCUGCACUAUUGGAAGAAAAGCCAGUGUUUGGGUGAGGAUCCUGGCUGCUCAUUAUCUUGCGGUUGAUUGGCCAGUUUUGGUUGAAUGCGGUUGGGGGGAAAGUCUUUCCUAAGCCUUUAGGAUAUUUAGUUCACCCUUAAAGGAGCGACAUGCCACCAUCAGGGUCACUGAGUACAUUAGGAAUUGUUCCUUCCUCGCCCAAAUCCACACAAAUUUGACACCCUGGGAAGGAGAUGGGGCAGGUCUGAGUAACCAAUCAUGGUACUUGGGAGGAGGAAUUGAUUUCUGAUCUUCAAUGAUCCCGUAGAACACGACCUGGACUAUGUAGGCUGUGCAAAAGAAAGCUCGUCUCCAGUGUCUGAGACCCCUGGAGCAGGGCUUCGGCCCGUCCCCGCCCCGGCCGCGCCCCGCAACAAGUGUCCGCCCUCCGCCCCGACGGAGGCCCGGUCCUCACCC